rnacentral:rRNA from 1 species
AUUGAACGCUGGCGGCAUGCUUUACACAUGCCAGUCGAACGGUAACAGGCCGCAAGGUGCUGACGAGUGGCGAACGGGUGAGUAAUGCAUCGGAGCGUGCCCAGUCGUGGGGGAUAACUACUCGAAAGAGUAGCUAAUACCGCAUACGAUCUAUGGAUGAAAGCGGGGGACCGUAAGGCCUCGCGCGAUUGGAGCGGCCGAUGUCAGAUUAGGUAGUUGGUGGGGUAAAGGCUCACCAAGCCAACGAUCUGUAGCUGGUCUGAGAGGACAACCAGCCACACUGGGACUGAGACACGGCCCAGACUCCUACGGGAGGCAGCAGUGGGGAAUUUUGGACAAUGGGCGCAAGCCUGAUCCAGCAAUGCCGCGUGCAGGAAGAAGGCCUUCGGGUUGUAAACUGCUUUUGUACGGAACGAAACGGCCCUGGUUAAUACCCGGGGCUAAUGACGGUACCGUAAGAAUAAGCACCGGCUAACUACGUG